UAUGUUCCUACAGUCAUGGAGCUGACAGGUAAAUCUGAGGCUUGCCCAUCCCUUGAAUCUAGCCUCAUCCAACCAUAGGGAAUGCUGUUUCCAAAGUGACAGCCUAAGCUGUCACCAACGUAACACUUCGGGGGAGAGUUCACGCCACCCUCUCCUCUCAAUAUUGACUUAGAGCAGGGUUUAGGGGGUUGGCUAGUGGACUGAGCAGGAGCUGCUGAAGGGAGAGGCUUGAAGGUUAACCAGCAGCCUCCCCAUCUUGUCUGGGGCAGCCUAGCUCAGCAUUUCCGGACGGGAGAAGGGAUCCGAGCACAGACCACCCCGACACUCGAGACUCGGGGAGGACUGAGACACGCACCUGCCACAGCCCAUCAUCAGUGAAUCCAAGUCUCCUUUCACGAAGAAAGAGUUGUUUCCUGUCCACUUGAAGACCUGUGAUGAUAGGAGAAACCUGCGGUUACUGGCCCAAAUGUCAUCCCAGAGGAACUGAAAGUAGCCCUUCCUCCCAGGCCCUGUUCAUGUGGCAAUAUGCCACUGCCUGCCCAGCUAACAGUAAAGCAGCUUGGCAAAACCCCAGUCGUGGUUGAACCCUCCCAUCGCGCUCUCCAUGCUUGAACCUGAGGAGCUGAAUUUUGCUAGAGAAGAGCACACACCGAAGGCUACCUGCACUUGGACCAGUUUUGUCUUUCCAGCCUGUAUCUGCUGAGCGACACACCUCCUCUCAAGCCAGUCAGUGGUUGCCAGGAACUGAGCACUUUUUAAAUGAAGGGGGAUGCUCUGCCUGCCACUGCCCUGCUGUACUCCCUCUGUGGAAAGAUGGAAGGACACCAGGCACCCAGCACGGGGGAUGGAGCUGGGGGCCACUGGGACCCCGGGUUCUUUGUCCUGCCAUAGAUCCCACUCCCCGCCUGGAAGGUUAAGAACAUCACCUUCAGCUGUGGAGAGAAGGAGAAGAGGAACGUCUCGCCAGUACCGUAGAAGCCUUUGCUGAGUCGAAUAGCCGAGGAGGAGAAGGCCCCAAACAUCUGGAAAGAAGAAUUUGCAGUUUGCCGCUGGAAGGGAGCUGGAGGUCCACUGGCAGCACCACCCUUCAGGCUUGGCAACAUAGGCCCAUCCUAGAGAGGCUCCUGGGGAGCCUGGGGCAGAGCUGGGGGAUGGAGAGGCCCUCGGGGGCCCAUCGACAUGCAUCCCUUCCACUAACACUCCCCGCACGGCUCACCUGGCCAUCCUGGUCCCUCAGCACCAGCAGCACCGGCCCGCUGUGGCCCUCCAUCUGCCUGUACAGGCUCCGCAGACUGAAGCCGUCCCUCGACGUGCGAAAGGCCAGACUCCAGGAGUGUCCAGCGACUCUCGGGGGGAGGUGGAGGCUGAUCUAAGGGACAGGACUGGAGGUGAGUGAGGGUUCCCGGUCCUCCCACCCUCCUCGCCCCAUAUCCUUCGGGUCCCAGGAGGACUGAGGUUGAACAGCCACCGCUCACCCAAGCACGGUGCUUUGCAGUUUACAGGGUACUUUACUGUUUCCAGGGGACUUUCACGCCAAUUAGCAGGAACCCUCAGAGAGAGGGAUUAGUGUUCCCAUUAUAUAGAUGAGGAAGCUGAGGCUCAGGGAGGUGAAGCAACCUGCCUGAAGCCCACAUGGGGAGUAAGUGGCAGAGCCAGGAUUUGAACCGAGGUCAGAGGGGUCACCUUGGCCCCCAGCAGCCAGAGAAUAGAUGAGACGCUGAACCCUUCCUCCUAAUCCCCGCAUCUCAUCCUCCCACCCCCACCCCAGCUUUGGCGUCAGUUCCCAAGGACUAGAUUAGUUCACUAUAUCCUUAACCUCCUGGCCCAGGGAAGAAGGCGGUGCUAGGAUUACUGGAUCAUUUUACAAGAAAGGAAGAAAAGCCCAGAGAGGAGAAGUGAUUUGCCCAAGGUGACACAGUGAGCAGAGGACAGAGCAGGAGUGACCCUGGGUGUCCUUGGGCCUAGCUUGGGUGGGGCAGGAGGGUGGGACCCUCAGGCUCAGGGCUGAAAUCUUUGUACCACGGACUGUGCCCGAACCUGCCUCAUCUCCGAGGCUCCCAGAACCUGGCUGGCUUCUGCCAGCUGGGGCUCCACUGGAUCUUCCGGAGCACAAGCUGGGGCUGGGGCUGUCUCCUCCUCCUUUUCCUCACCCUCCUCCCCAGACAGAGCGUCCUCCACCUGGCUGGGCUGUGAAGACACAAAGAGGCCUGGUGAGUGGAGGGACAAGGAGACACCAGCCUCCACAUGUCCUCGGCCACCUCAUCACCCCGGCCCAGGCCCCUGCAGCCACGAGCGCAGCCAGAGGAAGCAAGUGUCAGCGACAGACCAGGCCCUGCCCCCACCUCCAGCCAGCUCCCUCCCUGGCCCCUGCCAGCCAUGCCCAUCCGAUGUGGCCGUAGGCCCUGCAGCUUGUCUGCCUGGUUUCUCUGGAUCCGGAGUGGAUGCCAGGGAUUGCGUUCUAAGCCUGUGGGCAGGAGAGAAGGGCAGAUGACAGCCCAGCUCUGGGAGCCUCAGCUGUGCCUUUGUACGUGAAAUAACGGUAAUAAUAAUAACAACAACAGUAGUGGCUGACGUAUACAGCACACACUUGACUAGGCCUGUGUGAAAUGCUUGCUGUGCGUGAUCUCUCUGAAUUUUCCCAAGAAUUCUAAGAAGAAUGUGCUGCUUUUUUUUUCCUUUUGGCCACGUACUCUGUGGCUUGUGGGAUCUCAGUUCCCUGACCAGGGAUUGAACCCGGGCCGCAGCAGUGACAGCGCCGAGUCCCAGCCACUGGAGUGCCAGGGAACUCCCGAGAAUGUGCUUCUUACUACGCCCAUUUUACAAAGGAAGAAAGAAGGCCCUUUCAGCCAGUGAAACAACGCAUGUAGUCAUAGGUGAGACAGUGUGCAGGUUAGCAGAUUCAUAUAAAAUGCACAUUUGUCUGUGUGUGAUGUGUUGGCUUAAAAUAGAGUUGUGUAGGCAAAUCAGUGUGAGAAGGUAUUGAGUGCAACUUUGUGUGUUA